CGGGUGCCCUGCUGGCAAGAAGUCAGUGUAAUGAAGAAUGACAGGGGGAAAUGGAAGGAGAAAAAAAAAUGCUAAAAAGCCUAGAGAUGACCACAUAUGAAACGACCAUGUGUGUAAAGGAUUGCUGGAAAAUAAAUCAGGUACAACCUUUUCUGCUCCUUACCAAACAGUACCACCUUCCCCUUUGCCCUACUUCGACUCUGGAGAGAGCAGAAACCACAGCAAGAAAGCUGACAGCGAGGAAGAGAAGCAAGGAAAGGCACCCAGAGAAGAAGAGAUGGCCUGGAUUCUGCCAUGUAAAUCAAAGAAGAGAGGGCCUAACUCAGCUGCCUAGCCUGGAUCACCUGGAACCCAUUAGGAUACAGGAUCAUAAACACCUCUAUUUUCCCUUCAGAGAGAGACCAGAACCACUGGAGUUAAGCUACCUGCAUAAGAGUUGAGUGCGAUCAGCUGUACUUAAUCUUUAAAUGUCCAACCCACUGAUAACCUUUGGUUUGCUUUGAUAACUAUGAAAUAAAUUCUCA
rnacentral:lncRNA from 1 species